rnacentral:rRNA from 1 species
GACGAAGGAUGCAAGCGUUAUCCGGAUUCAUUGGGUUUAAAGGGUGCGUAGGCGGCCUUGUAAGUCAGUGGUGAAAUCUUCUCGCUUAACGAGAAAACUGCCAUUGAUACUGCUAGGCUUGAGUACAGAUGCUGUGGGCGGAAUAUGACAUGUAGUGGUGAAAUACAUAGAGAUGUCAUAGAACACCGAUUGCGAAGGCAGCUCACAAAACUGUAACUGACGCUGAGGCACGAAAGUGCGGGGAUCAAAC